rnacentral:tRNA from 1 species
GGGGCUGUAGCUCAGUUCGGUAGAGCACUUGCUCGGCAGGCAAGGGGUCAGGGGUUCGAAUCCCCUCAGCUCCACAA